UAUAAAUAACUUUGGGAACAUAUUAUACACUGGUCUUUGCUUUGCACCUAACUAUAUGUUUUAAACAUCCUUCCACAUCAUUUUAUAGCAGCUGGUCUCAUCCUUUUUUCUUUUCUUUUUUUUCUUUAAUUUUUUAAAAAUGUCUAUUUAUUUAUUUUUGAGAGAGAGAUGGUGAACAGGGGAGGGGCAGAGAGAGAGGGAGACAGAAUCCCAAGCAGGCUCCGUGCUGCCGGCACAGAGCCUGAACUUGAAGCCACCAACCGUGAGAUCAUAACCUGAGCCAAAACCAAGAGUUGCAUGCCCAACUGACUGAGCCACCCAGCCGCCCCCUUUUCUUCUUCUUUUUUAAAGCAGGCGGGCAAUUUGGCUAACCUCGAAUUGCAGACUGCCUCCACAGGGGUGAGUGACAACUGGAACAUCGGCUCACUCUGCUUAGCUUUAGCCCUGAAUACAAGCGUUCUGCUAGAGAUGCGAGCAGAGCUCAUACAGAGAAUUUGGGGCUCCCCUCCUCUCGAUGUUCCUCUUCCAGGACUCCCGACUCAACACCCCGGGGCUGUGUUUGCACACCCCCCUGUCCUCUGGCUCUUCCGGCAGGUAAAAUCAGGUGUCCUGGCAGAGUUUGGGCCACCGUCUCUCGGCACAGAUUUGCCACACCUAUGAAAACGGGACACUCACCAUGGACGUGUCCCUUUCUUCCAAGUGACGACAUCCCUCUGGCACCUCCCUGUGUUGGGUUGUUCCCCAGUGUCUUCAGACAGUUUGAGUUUGUAUGGGGAGUGGGGUUUGCGUUUUGUCCAGUUGAAUGUUAUUGUCUGCACAGGAUCCAUCUGGGAGGAGAUCCGCAGCCAUGACUGGGAGCGGAAUUUUGCCUCACUCUUUAACUGCCACAUUUCACCUUCCAGACACCCCUGCAAGAAAGGUGUCAUUCUGCCUCCUGUCUGCAGAGCAGUAGGUGAUACGGGCCCAUCGGACCCCAAAUCAUUUGAGCAUUUGGGAAUGGCCUCUGUUUUGGCUUUGUUUGUUUGUUUGUUUUUCCUGUUUGUUUUGAAAUAAAAACACUUUCACUAUGACCUUGGAAACGUCACUUAACCUCAGUUCUCAUUUGUAAAUCUGAAUAAUCAUGAGACUUUCCUCACAAGGCAGUCCCGAAGGGCAAUGAAAUGGGCAACCGUGGCCGAUGUUUAUAUGCGGUACUUCGAGCAGGGACCGCCCUCAGGGGCUUUAUUCCUUGCAACGGCCUAUGAAUGAGGUAUUAUUAUCAUCAGCUCCAUUUGACGGUGAGGAGACUGGGGCACGGUGAGCUUACGCGACUCGCUCCGUGCCCUCCUGCAGGCAGUGGCGGAGCCCGGCUUCGGCCAGAGGCUGUGGCGUCUGCAUCCGGGAGCUCAGCCACGUGCCCCUGGAACGGGGGUCUUAAUCCUGCGUGCGUCAGACUCACGUGCCAGUCCUGCAAAUAUCUGCUGAGUCAGACUCCCCAGCCUCCGCGUUUGCAAUCAACCUCCAUGCCUCGGCACGGUCGGUGCUGGAACACAGGCAUUCCCCACGCUGGCUUCCUUCUCCUGACUCACUGGCUCUUCACCAAGUUCUAGGACUGGACUAUUAGGGUUGCCUCUGACCCAUUCCUGACACAUCUAUGUCACCAGCCCGCAUGUCAGGAGGAACAGGUUCUAGCUGCCUCAGGGGGAAACAGCCGUCCUGGGAUCAUCCUUCUCCACCUGUCUGAAGCCAUACCCGGUCAUGUGACCAGUGCGAGAGAUACUGUGAGCCACGGUGGAUGUGUCACCCAACGUCUCGGUCUUUUAAGUAAACUACACCUGACAACACCGUGUUAUCCCGCGCUCCUUCAGUUUCCUGGAAACUCCCAGGAUGUUUCAGAAGGCAGAGUUCAGCUGUAACUUGGAUGGUGUUUACUUUAUCUCUCUAACACUAGGAGAGCGAACGCUCUGCCCGUCACCGUCCCUGCUGUGUCCUGAAUGCUAGAAGCCAGCCAGGAACCACGUCUAGAACACUCCAAAGGUACUAUUUUAACUCUGUUUCACAAGUCAAGAAACCAAGAUCAGCUACAGAAUUUGAGGGACUCGGAGCAAAAUGAAGACGACAAAUGAAAAUUAUGAGGAAUAUCAAGAUGAUGACAGCAGAGCAUUGCACCAGGCACAAUCACAUAGGACCCAUGAAACGGGCCCUGGAGGAAACCAAGGGCCAGAGAAGUUAAGUUACUUUCCCAAGGUCACACAGCAAGUUUUGGAGCCUCUAAAAAUCCUUUAUUUAUUGUAAACUCCCUGCAGGCAGGGGCUUUGAGGUCACUGGUGGCAUGUUCUGAUCCCGGGUCCUCAGGUCUCCACGAGUUUGAUGGCCAAGUCCCCUUUCUGAUUGUUUCUGAACGCAAGAAAACAAGAACCAAAUUAUAAACGUAUAAGCUAAACACGAGUUUUAUUUACAGUUAUGGCAUUCAGUGCUGCAAAAGAGUUUAAGGAGCUAACCUAUUUUUUGUUUCUAUGAAAGAGACUUCAUUUUUUCUGUGAGAUUCUUUGCUGGUGAUGGGAAGAAAGGAGAGAUAAAAUCUCAGGGGCACAUCAGUGCAUUAAUCAUGGUCCUAAUCUCAUGACCUCUUAUUAUUAUUAUUAUGCCCUUUUAGUUUAACUAUUCUUUGUUUAUUUUCAGUGCAGUAACGAUUACCUCUGAACUCACCCAAGAACUAGCUUAUUGCUGAUAAUUCAUAUCUCCUCUGGGCUCCUUACCCGUAUCAUUUUCCCAUCUCAGACGUGAUCACUGUCCCGAAUGUCACAUGUCCUGGUUGCUAGUUUUCAGAUGUGUUACAUUUGCAUGCCUAGCUAAAUGAUGUAUUGUCUGCUUAAAAGCAAAUUCAUAGAAAGGGUAUUUUGAAAUUCAUAGAAAGGGUAUUUUAUGCCAUCUUCUGAGGCUUGCUUUUUUGACUCAAGAAUAGCUGAAAAGAGUCCAUCGCUGUGUCGUUACACAGACUGGUAUUUUAUUUAUUUUCACUAGUAUAGAACAUUCCAUUAUCUGGACAGACUGUAAUGUAGUUAUCCAUUGCCCUCUCAUGGGCAUUCAGGCUGUUUCAGAUUUUUGCUAUUAAAAAGAGAGCUUCCGGGGCGCCUGGGUGGCUCAGUCGGUUGAGCGUCCGACUUUGGCUCAGGUCAUGAUCUCACAGCUUGUGAGUUCAGGCCCCGCAUCGGGCUCUGUGCUGACAGCUUGGAGCAUUCUGUCUCUGUCUGUCUCAAAAAUAAAUAAACAUUUAAAAAAAAAAAAGAGAGAGAGCUUCCAUGAAAUUCUCAUGUAAGUACAUGAGUCAAAUUUUGCCUUGGUUAUAUACCCAGGAGUGCAAUUGCUGAUUCAUAGGGUAUAGUAAUGUAUAGUAAUGCUAAAAUUUGCAAGAGAAUGCCAAAUCACUUCCCAAAAUUACUGCUCCGAAGUAUACCCCCCGGUGAUCAUAGGGGAUCCCACUGAUCUCCAUCUCCCGCAUAUGGUAUUGUCAACUUUUAUAAUUUUUCCAGUUGAAUGAGUGUUGAAUGAAUAAAUGAUCGACUAAUGGAGAUACUAUAGAUUGUUCAGAAAAAAUAAGUUCCUAUGGUCAAUCAAUAACCUUUAACUUUCGGUCAAUCAAUAAAUUAAGCAAAUUAAGUGUGCUUUAAAAUGUUGCCAAGAAGACAAAAUGAAAAAUUUCAAGUAAACUGUUGCAAAAAUCUUACGAAAAGUACAAUCAUUCCAUCUGUUAGGAAAUGCCAUAAAAUAUAAAUAGUUAAAAAAACAAAAGAUAGGGGCGCCUGGGUGGCCCAGUUGGUUAAGCCUCUGACUUCGGCUCAGGUCAUGGUCUCUCAGUUAGUGGGUUCCAGCCCUGCAUUGGGCUCUGUGCUGAC